CCUGAUAGUUGCGGUAGAGCAUCCGGCUGUUAACCGGAGGGUCGUAGGUUCGAAUCCUUCUCGGAGAU
rnacentral:tRNA from 1 species